AAGUGAUAUAUAUUAUAUAUUUUUAAUUGUUUGAAACUUUAGCCGAUGAAAUAUAUUUUCCUCGGAAAAAUUUCUAUUGUCGAGAAAUUGAUAAGAUUUGACGGUAAAUACUUGGUUCUUUUGGCCAGAAUUUUAACACAUCCGUCGGCAAUAGAAAAAAAAUUGUCGUGCCUCCCGUCCCGCCUCAAAGUCCCGCCAAUCAUAACGUGGAAAAAUAAUUGAAAUACAAUUAAUUUCACCCAUUAUUUUUCUCUCCAUCUCCUUUGCAUCUCCUUCUCCUUUCUCUUUUUUUUUCUUUUUUUUUUUUUUCUGUCAAAAUCAUUUUCCAAAGGUUGCAUUUCCGUUGCAAACCCACGUUCUUCCCUUAAAAACCAGCUGCUCUCUGCAUCUCCAUAGGUUGAAGCAAACCCAUUUUCUUCUUCGAAUCUCACUUUGAAUAUCUCUUCAAUUUCUCUUUGAUUUUCUUUUUCUUUCUUUUAUUUUUGCAAGUGGUGGUCGCCGAUCGAUCUGCUGGUUGCCUUUCUGCAGAUGUUUCCCUUCUUGUUAAGUAGAGUUUGCUGUGAAGCCUGUGGAAAUCUUAAGCAGAGUUUCUUGUUGCCGUGUAUAAUGGGGGUCCAGAACUUUCCAAUAGUGACUACUGCAUGGAUUGCCUCAUUGAUGGAGCCUGCAAUUUGGUCUCUGCUGAUAGCUAUAGGGAUUGCAGAACAGUAAUGAAACAAAUUGCCAAAGAUGUACUGCAGAGAGCUGUCCAGAUGGGUCGUAUAAUGUUUCUAAGGCAUGGUUGCAACAGUGGCUUAAAAGAAAAAUACUUGAUGCUCCCACUGAAGCUGAUGCUGGGCCAACAGCUUCAAUUAGGUGUCCUCAUGGUGAACUUAUGCCUGAGCAAGAUGUGGGAGCUAAGCGGUUGCUUGUUCCUGAGGCUCAGUGGCUCUUCCUUUACGAAGAUGCUUUUGCUGUAAAACCUGAUGAUGAUUUGGGUUGUUGGAUAGCAUCGUUGGUUCACUGAAGUGUGAAAAGCAUUCACGACUGUUAGAAAGGCCUCCUGAUCUGGUUUGCAAACAUGGUUCCAUUUUCCAAAAGUCUUCUACUCCAGAUGGGUUAACAAUCAUCACUGAGAUUGAUUGGAAAUGCUUCUAUGAAGAAUGGGAUGGUGUCAAGGAUAAAGGCAUAUCUGCUGAGAUUGAGUUUAGUAAUACUGGAGGAAGUAAUUUUGUUGGGUCCUCUGAAGACAUACCAAUUUCUGAGGAGGAUAUGGGUGCUCUUGAUGAAGUUAAUAAUGAAGCUGAGUCUAGACAACUUCACAUUAGGACUUGUCCAGAGGUACUGGAACUUUAUUUAUUUAUCUAUUUAAUGUUAAAAGCUUGUGCACAUCAACCACUAUUCAUAUUGAUUAUCUUUUGCCUUAGGACCUUUUGUUAGUAACAAUGUUGAAAUAAAAAAACUAUUGUGCUGAUUUGUAUUAUUGGAAAAUGCGAUUUGUAUAGGAUUUGAAAAGAGAUAUCUAAGUUAAGAAAUGUUAAUAUGAUGUAUUAUAUAUUUGAAGAAGAAAUGAAAAGAGAGAUAGAGAUAAAAGAUUAUGGGUAUCACUACCUCUUUUAUAAUUCUGAAGUUUGGAACUUGUUGGUCAUGUUUACAUAAUCUACAUUCUUCAUGAUGAACUGAUAUGCCAGGAACAUGUGGUGGAUAUUUUAUAUUUAUACUAUGAGGAGUACAAAAUUUCCCAAAUAAA